UGGUGGAGUGAUCUGUCUGGUUAAUUCCGUUAACGAACGAGACCUUAGCCUGCUAAAUAGUCACCUGUUAGCCACGCUAACUUGGUCGGCUUCUUAGAGGGACUUUGCGUGUUAUAAUGCAAGGAAGUUUGAGGCAAUAACA
rnacentral:rRNA from 1 species